rnacentral:rRNA from 1 species
UGGUGGAGUGAUUUGUCUGGUUAAUUCCGUUAACGAACGAGACCUCAGCCUGCUAACUAGUUGUAAGAUUCUCUUUCUUGAAAGGAAUUUCUGCAACUUCUUAGAGGGACUGUCGGCGUGUAGCCGAAGGAAGCGUGAGGCAAUAACA